GCAGAAAGAUCUGCAAAAAUACCAAAAGUUUCCAAAGAUGCAUCAGCUUCAAAGAAAGACAAAGAAGAUUCCAAAGACACACCAGCUUUAAAGAAAGACAAAGAAGUAACUGAUGAUAUACCUUCCCCAAAGAAGCAAAAAA